rnacentral:rRNA from 1 species
CUAGCGACUUCAGAGUUUGAUCCUGGCUCAGAGUGAACGCUGGCGGUAGGCCUAACACAUGCAAGUCGAACGGCAGCACAGUAAGAGCUUGCUCUUAUGGGUGGCGAGUGGCGGACGGGUGAGGAAUACAUCGGAAUCUACCUUUCGUGGGGAUAACGUAGGGAAACUUACGCUAAUACCGCAUACGACCUUCGGGAGAAAGCAGGGGACCUUCGGGCCUUGCGCUAUCAGAUGAGCCUAGGUCGGAUUAGCUAGUUGGUGGGGUAAUGGCUCACCAAGGCGACGAUCCGUAACUGGUCUGAGAGGAUGAUCAGUCACACUGGAACUGAGACACGGUCCAG